UCUCCCUGUGAUUGUUCCACAGAUCUGUUUGAAGUACCACAUGGUGUGAAUGCUCCCUCUAGUGAUUAGCUUUUAGACUGUUCAUGAAUGGUAACCUAUUCCCUUGAGUAUUGCCCUUUUCUGUAAUUUAAGCACUCAUGUUUUCAGAUGCAAUAAGUGUUGUCUUUUAUGCUGUAAGGCAGGGAUGGCCAAAAGGUAGAUUCCACAGAUGUUUUUAAACUACAACUCCCAUGAUUCUUUGCAUACCUUUGCAAACCAUCUGGGGAUCUACU